rnacentral:rRNA from 1 species
UACAGAGGUCUCAAGCGUUGUUCGGAUUCAUUGGGCGUAAAGGGUGCGUAGGCGGACAGGUAAGUCAGUGGUGAAAUCUCUGGGCUUAACUCAGAAACUGCCGUUGAUACUAUUUGUCUUGAAUAUCUUGGAGGUAAGCGGAAUAUGUCAUGUAGCGGUGAAAUGCUUAGAUAUGACAUAGAACACCGAUAGCGAAGGCAGCUUACUACAGGAAGAUUGACGCUGAGGCACGAAAGCGUGGGGAGCAAACAGG